rnacentral:rRNA from 1 species
GGGUGCACUGCCGACCGACCUUGAUCUUCUUGAGAAGGGUUSGAGUGGGAGCAUGCCUGUCGGGACCCGAAAGAUGGUGAACUAUGCGUGAGCGAGGUGAAGCCAGAGGAAACUCUGGUGGAGGCCCGCRGCGAUACUGACGUGCAAAUCGUUCGUCUGACUUGGGUAUAGGGGCGAAAGACUAAUCGAACCAUCUAUGGUGGUUGACGGCAACGUUAGGGAGUCCGGAGACGNUGGCGGGGGCCUCGGGAAGAGUUAUCUUUUAUGCUUAACAGCCUGCCAACCCUGGAAANGCCUCAGSCGGAGAUAGGGUCCAGCGGUUGGAAGAGNACNGCACGUCCUGCGGUGUCCGAUNGCCCCCGGCGACCCUUGAAAAUCUGGAU